CACCGCGGUUAUACGAGAGGCCCAAGUUGACAGAAGCCGGCGUAAAGAGUGGUUAAGGAAAAUACAAACUAAAGCCGAACGCCUUCAGAGCAGUUAUACGCACCCGAAGGUAUGAAGCCCCACUACGAAAGUGGCUUUACACCCCCUGACCCCACGAAAGCUAUGGCA
rnacentral:rRNA from 1 species